rnacentral:lncRNA from 1 species
GCAUGCAUGGACUAGCUCACAAUUCGGGGUUUCAUAUUCAACAUACUUAAUAGCCCUUAUACUUCACCUACGCUCUUUAUCAAACCUAUGGGGGACAUGCUUCACUUAUUCAACCAUUUCUAUACCCAAGAGUCAUGAAAAAAUCACAUAGAAAACAACUUUAAGAGGGUGUAUCACAAACAUCACAUGAAUUCCACAUACUAGGG